AAAAAAGCAGGGCCUAGUUUCCUUAUUUGGAUUUGGCCCUCGUAAACUUCAGGGAAAUCAUUUCCAUCGUUAUUGGGUGAACCUCUGUAACAAUUGCUGACUGAAGGUUCAGUAAAUGAUGGCACAUCU
rfam:Ricinus communis ctg_1100012358557, whole genome shotgun sequence.